rnacentral:rRNA from 1 species
GCUGGCGGUAGGCUUAACACAUGCAAGUCGUGCGAGAAAGUAUCUUCGGAUAUGAGUAGAGCGGCGGACGGGUGAGUAACGCGUAGGAAUCUACCUAGUAGAAGGGGAUAGCCCGGGGAAACCCGGAUUAAUACCGUAUACCUCCUUCGGGAGAAAGAAGGCCUCUCUUUGAAGCUUUCGCUAUUAGAUGAGCCUGCGUAAGAUUAGCUUGUUGGUGAGGUAAAGGCUCACCAAGGCGACGAUCUUUAGCUGGUCUGAGAGGACGAUCAGCCACAUUGGGACUGAGACACGGCCCAGACUCCUACGGGAGGCAGCAGUGGGGAAUAUUGGACAAUGGGCGCAAGCCUGAUCCAGCCAUACCGCGUGUGUGAAGAAGGCCUUCGGGUUGUAAAGCACUUUAAGCAGGGAGAAAAAGUUAUAAGUUAAUACCUUAUAACCGUGAUGUUACCUGCAGAAUAAGCACCGGCUAAUUCCGUGCCAGCAGCCGCGGUAAUACGGAAGGUGCAAGCGUUAAUCGGAAUUACUGGGCGUAAAGCGCGCGUAGGUGGUUUGUUAAGUUGGAUGUGAAAGCCCUGGGCUCAACCUAGGAACUGCAUCCAAAACUAACUCACUAGAGUACGAUAGAGGGAGGUAGAAUUCAUAGUGUAGCGGUGGAAUGCGUAGAUAUUAUGAAGAAUACCAGUGGCGAAGGCGGCCUCCUGGAUCUGUACUGACACUGAGGUGCGAAAGCGUGGGUAGCGAACAGGAUUAGAUACCCUGGUAGUCCACGCCGUAAACGAUGACAACUAGCUGUUGGAAGACAACGUCUUUCAGUGGCGCAGCUAACGUUUUAAGUUGUCCGCC